rnacentral:rRNA from 1 species
GGGUUCGAUUCUGGCUCAGGAUGAACGCUGGCGGCGUGCUUAACACAUGCAAGUCGAACGGAGUUUUAAACGGUAAGUUUCGGAUGGAAGUUUAAGAACUUAGUGGCGGACGGGUGAGUAACGCGUGGGUAACCUGCCUCAUACGAGGGGGAUAACAGUUAAGAAAUGACUGACUAAGACCGCAAUAAUAUAGACGAAACCGCAUGUAUUUUGCUAUACAAAUUAUUUAUAGGUAUGAGAGUCGGGCCCGCGUCUGAUUAGCUAGUUGGUGGGUAAAAGCCUACCAAGGCGACGAUCAGUAGCCGGCUUGGGAGAGUGACCGGCCACAUUGGGACUGAGACACGGCCCAAACUCCUACGGGAGGCAGCAGUGGGGAAUAUUGGACAAUGGGGGAAACCCUGAUCCAGCGACGCCCGCGUGAGUGAAGAAGUAUUUCGGUAUGUAAAGCUCUAUCAGCAGGGAAGAUAAUGACAGUACCUGACUAAGAAGCCCCGGCUAACUACGUGCCAGCAGCUGC